rnacentral:rRNA from 1 species
GAUGAACGCUGGCGGCGUGCCUAAUACAUGCAAGUCGAGCGAACGGACGAGAAGCUUGCUUUUCUGAUGUUAGCGGCGGACGGGUGAGUAACACGUGGAUAACCUACCUAUAAGACUGGGAUAACUUCGGGAAACCGGAGCUAAUACCGGAUAAUAUUUUGAACCGCAUGGUUCAUAAGUGAAAGACGGUCUUGCUGUCACUUAUAGAUGGAUCCGCGCUGCAUUAGCUAGUUGGUAAGGUAACGGCUUACCAAGGCAACGAUGCAUAGCCGACCUGAGAGGGUGAUCGGCCACACUGGAACUGAGACACGGUCCAGACUCCUACGGGAGGCAGCAGUAGGGAAUCUUCCGCAAUGGGCGAAAGCCUGACGGAGCAACGCCGCGUGAGUGAUGAAGGUCUUCGGAUCGUAAAACUCUGUUAUUGGGGAAGAACAUAUGUGUAAGUAACUGUGCACAUCUUGACGGUACCUAAUCAGAAAGCCACGGCUAACUACGUG